UCGAAAGGAACUAGCCGCAAACAGAGGAGAAACAUAUCCGUUCACAGAUACCUCAAAGCAAUGUUUCGUAGUUAUUCAUUCGAGGAUUUAUUUUUUAUUUACAUGUAGCGUACUGGAGGGUAAUAAAAUGGAGGCAGUUUGAUAUGCAACUGUGUAAAGGCUAUACGAGUUUAUGGACAACUCCUGGCUUUGCAGUUACAUCUAGUGAGAAGGAGUCUCUUCGGACAUGUUGGAGGAAGCUGAAAUGGUCAAGGGCAGUACCGUCGAUUUUGAUACCAGAGCCGCCGAACGGAAGCCGUUCAUCAACAAUCAUUCAUGACACCUGGGUCGAUCGGAGGAAGCAUUCCAGAGUCGAGCUGGCGAUGUCAUUGUCGCAGCUACACGGUGAUUCUUUCAUGUUACUAAGGGUCUGUUUGGCUACCACCUCAUAAACUUCAGGAGACUCAUAAAGUUUAUGAGUCCCUAAUUGCUAGUCCUAAAAAUUAGGAGUGGGGUGUUUGGAUGAACUCAUAGGAUGGUAGAGGGAAAAUGACCGUUGUACCUCUAAUUAAAGGAGCAACUGCCGGCCCUUUCUGUCUCUGGUUUUGGCGCGAGCAGCAGGCGCAGCUGGUUUUGGCGCGAGCAGCACUUCUUUUGGCCUCUGCCUCUGGCGCAGAUUGGUAUUGCC
rnacentral:lncRNA from 1 species